GUGGGGAAUAUUGGGCAAUGGGGGCAACCCUGACCCAGCAACGCCGCGUGAGGGAAGAAGGUUUUCGGAUUGUAAACCUCUGUCCUAUGGGAAGAAGGAAGUGACGGUACCAUAGGAGGAAGCCCCGGCUAACUACGUGCCAGCAGCCGCGGUAAUACGUAGGGGGCGAGCGUUGUCCGGAAUUACUGGGCGUAAAGGGUGCGCAGGUGGCCUGACAAGUCAGAUGUGAAAUACCGAUGCUUAACGUCGGGGCUGCAUUUGAAACUAUGAGGCUGGAGUGCAGGAGAGGGAAGCGGAAUUCCUAGUGUAGCGGUGAAAUGCAUAGAUAUUAGGAGGAACCCCAGUGGCGAAGGCGGCUUUCUGGACUGUAACUGACACUGAGGCACGAAAGCGUGGGGAGCAAACAGGAUUAGAAACCCCAGUAGUCC
rnacentral:rRNA from 1 species